rnacentral:rRNA from 1 species
GUGGGGAAUCUUGCGCAAUGGGCGAAAGCCUGACGCAGCAACGCCGCGUGGGGGAUGAAGGCUCUCGGGUUGUAAACCCCUUUCAGCAGGGACGAAUCAAGACGGUACCUGCAGAAGAAGCCCCGGCUAACUACGUGCCAGCAGCCGCGGUAACACGUAGGGGGCAAGCGUUGUCCGGAUUUAUUGGGCGUAAAGAGCUCGUAGGUGGCUGAGUAAGUCGGGUGUCAAAGCCCCAGGCUCAACCUGGGAUCCCACCCGAUACUGCUCUGGCUAGAGUCCGGUAGGGGAGCGUGGAAUUCCUGGUGUAGCGGUGAAAUGCGCAGAUAUCAGGAGGAACACCAGCGGCGAAGGCGGCGCUCUGGGCCGGUACUGACACUGAGGAGCGAAAGCGUGGGUAGCAAACAGGAUUAGAUACCCCAGUAGUCC